UGGGGAAUAUUGCACAAUGGGCGCAAGCCUGAUGCAGCCAUGCCGCGUGUGUGAAGAAGGCCUUAGGGUUGUAAAGCACUUUCAGCGAGGAGGAAGGCAUCAUACUUAAUACGUGUGGUGAUUGACGUUACUCGCAGAAGAAGCACCGGCUAACUCCGUGCCAGCAGCCGCGGUAAUACGGAGGGUGCAAGCGUUAAUCGGAAUUACUGGGCGUAAAGCGCACGCAGGCGGUUUGUUAAGUCAGAUGUGAAAUCCCCGCGCUUAACGUGGGAACUGCAUUUGAAACUGGCAAGCUAGAGUCUUGUAGAGGGGGGUAGAAUUCCAGGUGUAGCGGUGAAAUGCGUAGAGAUCUGGAGGAAUACCGGUGGCGAAGGCGGCCCCCUGGACAAAGACUGACGCUCAGGUGCGAAAGCGUGGGGAGCAAACAGGAUUAGAGUACC
rnacentral:rRNA from 1 species